AUGACGGAAAAGAAGAAAAAAGGGUGGCCUCUAUACAAAGCUAUCGCCGAAGGAGGGGUUUUGCGUCUGAUUAGCUGGUUGGAGGGGUAACGGCCCAACAAGGCGAUGAUCAGUAGCCGGUCUGAGAGGAUGAACGGCCACAUUAGGACUGAGACACGGCCCAGACUCCUACGGGAGGCAGCAGUGGGGAAUCUUCCGCAAUGGACGAAAGUCUGACGGAGCAACGCCGCGUGAGUGAAGAAGGUCUUCGGAUUGUAAAGCUCUGUUAUACGGGACGAAAAAGACGGAUGCCAACAGUAUCCGUCCGUGACGGUACCGUAAGAGAAAGCCACGGCUAACUACGUGCCAGCAGCCGCGGUAAAU
rnacentral:rRNA from 1 species